UCCCAUUCUUGCCAUCAUUCUUGUCCUCCUCUCUAUUUUUUCUUUGGUAGACGGUAAACAAGAGGCUUGGACGUUGACUGUUGUUCCCUUCCCCAAUUUUAUGCAAUCUUCGUCCCCUCCUCAUUGUUGCCCACAUUCUUCCCCUCCCCACUUCUAUGUGAUCUUCUCUCUAUCUCUCUUGUUCUUCCACAACAUCUUCAAACGAAAGGCGAAGGAAAACGAACAAAGGCGGUGUAAUGUGGUGAAGGAGUUCGAACAACAUGGCAAGUGGAGUAUGGAAAAAAAAUUCUAUACUCAUUUUAGGUGAGUUAUGGUGAUUUUACACAAACAUACCCCUUGUGCACGACUACUCAGCAACAACGAUGAAAAGUGCUUCCAUCAAAUGAUGACAACAUGAUCAGACGGUGGAUAACAGUACCAAUGGAGACUAGGAUGGCAGUGAGCAAUAUUUUUCCUUACAUAUUAGAAAAUUUUCUCAAACUUCAACCAUUGUAGUGAAUUGUUCUUUGUUGAUUUUUUUUUGGAAAUUGUUCUAUGUGUAAAAACUAUUCUUUGAUUUC